rnacentral:rRNA from 1 species
CUUGGUGUCCAUAGAGCUGUGGAACCUCCCGAACUCAGAAGUGAAACGCAGCAUCGCCGAUGGUAGUGUGGGGUCUCCCCAUGUGAGAGUAGGUCAACGCCAAGC